rnacentral:rRNA from 4 species
AAGAAAGUAAUAAAGGGCACAUGGGGGAUGCCUAGGCUCUCAGAGGCGAUGAAGGACGUGAUAAGCUGCGAAAAGCUAGGGGUAGGUGCAAAUAACCAUUGAUCCCUGGAUCUCCGAAUGGGGCAACCCAACAGAGUAGUACUCUGUUACAAUGCUAUGCAUUGAGCUAACGCGGGGAACUGAAACAUCUAAGUACCCGUAGGAACAGAAAAUAACAAUGAUUCCCAAAGUAGUGGCGAGCGAACUGGGACCAGCCCAAACCGGUAUUGUUUAGGCAAUACCGGGGUUGUAGGACUGCGUUGUGGCACGAAACGUUGGAAGUAGAACGAUCUGGAAAGUUCGAUCAAAGAAGGUGAUAAUCCUGUAUACGACUCCGACGCGAAGCCUAGCAGUAUCCUGAGUAGCGCGGGACACGAGAAAUCCUGUGUGAAUCUGCCGGGACCAUCCGGUAAGGCUAAAUACUCCUGAGAGACCGAUAGUGAACCAGUACCGUGAGGGAAAGGUGAAAAGCACCUCGAACAGAGGAGUGAAACAGACCCUGAAACCAUGUGCCUACAAGCGGUCGGAGCAGCUUAAGCUGUGACGGCGUGCCUUUUGCAUAAUGAACCUACGAGUUACUCUUACUGGCAAGGUUAAGUGUAAGUAUGCACCGAGCCGAAGCGAAAGCAAGUCCUAACAAGGCGUCUGAGUCAGUAGGAGUAGACGCGAAACCAAGUGAUCUACCCUUGUGCAGGUUGAAGGUUGGGUAACACCAACUGGAGGACCGAACCGUUAAACGUUGAAAAGUUUUCGGAUGACGUGAGGGUAGGGGUGAAAGGCUAAUCAAACUUGGAGAUAGCUCGUACUCCCCGAAAUGCAUUUAGGUGCAGCCUCGGCUUAUAAUAUUGUGUCAGGUAGAGCGACUGAUUGGAUGCGAGGGCUUCGCCGCCUAUCAAGUCCAGAUAAACUCCGAAUGGGCACAAUAUCUUUACCGGGAGUGAGGGCAUGGGUGCUAAGGUCCAUGUCCGAGAGGGAAAGAACCCAGACCAUCAGCUAAGGUCCCCAAAUACAUGUUAAGUUGAAUUAACGAAGUAUGAUUACUAAGACAGCUAGGAUGUUGGCUUGGAAGCAGCCAUUCAUUUAAAGAGUGCGUAACAGCUCACUAGUCGAGUGGUCGUGCGUGGAUAAUAAUCGGGCAUUAAACAUGUUACCGAAGCUAUGGGAUAAAUAUUAUCGGUAGGGGAGCAUUCUACUCUGCGUUGAAGGCGAAGUGUAAACUUCACUGGAGCGUGUAGAAAAGCAAAUGUAGGUAUAAGUAACGAUAAAGGAGGUGAGAAACCUCCUCGCCGAAAGACUAAGGUUUCCUGAUCAACGCUAAUCGGAUCAGGGUAAGUCGGGCCCUAAUGCUAAGCCGAACGGCAAUGCAGAUGGACGAACCGGUUAAUAUUCCGGUACUGAAUAAAAGAGUGAUGCGGCGACGCAGGAGUGAUACUGCUGCCACCAGACGGAUUCGGUGGUUGAAAGGCGUAGACGUUGAUUCCGGUAGGCAAAUCCGCCGGGAGAGUCGAACCCCCACAGGACUGCAACCCUUCGGGCGCGCAGAUAAUGCAGGUAAUCAGACUGCCAAGAAAACCCGCUAAACUUUAAUCUUUUGUUCAACCGUACCACAAACGGACACACGUAGUCGGGUUGAAAAUACUAAGGCGCUCGAGCGAUUCACAGUUAAGGAAUUAGGCAAAAUGACCCUGUAACUUCGGGAUAAAGGGUACCGUCAGCAAUGGCGGUCGCAGAGAAUAGGUCAAGGCAACUGUUUAUCAAAAACACAUGGCUAUGCGAAUUAGCAAUAAGAAGUAUAUAGUCUGACACCUGCCCGGUGCUGGAAGGUUAAGAGGAGAUGUCAUCAGCAAUGAGAAGCAUUGAAUUGAAGCCCCAGUAAACGGCGGCCGUAACUAUAACGGUCCUAAGGUAGCGAAAUUCCUUGUCGGGUAAGUUCCGACCUGCACGAAUGGUGUAAUGAUCUUGACACUGUCUCAACUGUGAUCUCGGUGAAAUUGUAGUAUCGGUGAAGAUGCCGAUUACCCGCGAUGGGACGAAAAGACCCCGUGAACCUUUACUAUAGCUUUACAUUGACGUUGGGCACUUAAUGUGUAGGAUAGGCCGGAGGCAAUGAAGUUGGUACGCCAGUACUAGUGGAGCCAUCCUUGAAAUACGGCCCUUUGAUUGUUUGACGUCUAACCCGCUGAUGCGGGGACACUGUAUGGUGGGUAGUUUGACUGGGGUGGUCGCCUCCAAAAGAGUAACGGAGGCUUCUAAAGGUGUGCUCAUGACGAUUGGUAACCGUCAGUAGAGUGUAAUGGUAUAAGCACGCUUGACUGAGAGACCCACAAGUCGAUCAGGUAGGAAACUAGAGCAUAGUGAUCCGGUGGUUUCAGUAUGGAAUGGCCAUCGCUCAAAGGAUAAAAGGUACUCCGGGGAUAACAGGCUGAUCAUUCCCAAGAGCUCAUAUCGACGGAAUGGUUUGGCACCUCGAUGUCGGCUCGUCACAUCCUGGGGCUGGAGCAGGUCCCAAGGGUUGGGCUGUUCGCCCAUUAAAGUGGCACGCGAGCUGGGUUCAGAACGUCGUGAGACAGUUCGGUCUCUAUCUAUCGUGGGCGCAGGAUAUUUGCGGAGAUCUGACACUAGUACGAGAGGACCGUGUUGGACGCACCCCUGGUUCACCGGUUGUUCCGCCAGGAGCAUCGCCGGGUAGCUAAGUGCGGAUUGGAUAAGUGCUGAAAGCAUCUAAGUACGAAGCCGGCUUCAAGAUAAGAUAUCCCUUAAGGGUGGUUGUAGACUACGACCUUGAUAGGCUACAGGUGUAAAGGCAGUAAUGUCAUAGCCGAGUAGUACUAAUAGCCCGGACGCUUUCUGUA